rnacentral:rRNA from 1 species
UACGAGGGUGCAAGCGUUGCUCGGAAUUAUUGGGCGUAAAGAGCUCGUAGGCGGUUUGUCGCGUCUGCUGUGAAAACUCGGGGCUUAACUCCGGGCCUGCAGUGGGUACGGGCAGACUAGAGUGCGGUAGGGGAGACUGGAAUUCCUGGUGUAGCGGUGAAAUGCGCAGAUAUCAGGAGGAACACCGGUGGCGAAGGCGGGUCUCUGGGCCGUAACUGACGCUGAGGAGCGAAAGCGUGGGGAGCGAACAGG